rnacentral:lncRNA from 1 species
AGCAAAUAUUGAGUACACUGGCCAGUCCACCUUUGCUUCAAGAUAGAAAUAAACCAGAAGACAGAAUGCCUGGCUGAAGGAUUCCGAUUGGAACAGAAACCUACGAGCUACUUUGUAAAAUGACUUGCCUCCUUUUGCCACAAGAAGGGAAAAUCUACUUCUGAAUUAACGAGUAGGUAAUUGAAAAUAUGAUGAGAUUACAGAAGACAAUAAAAAUAAAUGCAAUUUUAAAAGGCCA